UGCUUCGCUGACGAGUGGCGGACGGGUGAGUAAUGUCUGGGAAACUGCCUGAUGGAGGGGGAUAACUACUGGAAACGGUAGCUAAUACCGCAUAACGUCGCAAGACCAAAGAGGGGGACCUUCGGGCCUCUUGCCAUCGGAUGUGCCCAGAUGGGAUUAGCUAGUAGGUGGGGUAACGGCUCACCUAGGCGACGAUCCCUAGCUGGUCUGAGAGGAUGACCAGCCACACUGGAACUGAGACACGGUCCAGACUCCUACGGGAGGCAGCAGUGGGGAAUAUUGCACAAUGGGCGCAAGCCUGAUGCAGCCAUGCCGCGUGUAUGAAGAAGGCCUUCGGGUUGUAAAGUACUUUCAGCGGGGAGGAAGGCGAUAAGGUUAAUAACCUUGUCGAUUGACGUUACCCGCAGAAGAAGCACCGGCUAACUCCGUGCCAGCAGCCGCGGUAAUACGGAGGGUGCAAGCGUUAAUCGGAAUUACUGGGCGUAAAGCGCACGCAGGCGGUCUGUCAAGUCGGAUGUGAAAUCCCCGGGCUCAACCUGGGAACUGCAUUCGAAACUGGCAGGCUAGAGUCUUGUAGAGGGGGGUAGAAUUCCAGGUGUAGCGGUGAAAUGCGUAGAGAUCUGGAGGAAUACCGGUGGCGAAGGCGGCCCCCUGGACAAAGACUGACGCUCAGGUGCGAAAGCGUGGGGAGCGAACAGGAUUAGAUACCCUGGUAGUCCACGCCGUAAACGAUGUCGACUUGGAGGUUGUGCCCUUG
rnacentral:rRNA from 1 species